UCCAAUAUGACCUUAGGCACUAUCUAGCUGUGUGACCCUGGGCAAGUCACAACCGCCAUGGCCAGCUCUUCUGUCCCAAAACUGAUAUGACGGAAGGUAAGCGACUUUUUGUUGUUUUUUAAUGUUAACUUAGCCUUUCAUGACCCCGUCAUUUCCCCUUGGUAAACCAUUCUAAACCCUCUGCCUUAGUGGCCCAUCUAUUACCAGUACAUCUUCUCUUCCUUCCUCCCCUACUCCGCUGAGAAGAGGAAGGGCUGUAAGCACUGCGACUCCUCCAUCCACCAUUAAGUCUUGAUCCCUGGCUGCCCUCCCUCCCUGGGGCACUUACCUCAGCACCCUGGGAUAGGAACAGCCACAGGAGAGUAUUCCUCCCUGCAGCAUGGCCUGAGGGCCUUCAGGGACUGGAAAGAUGGCGCUGUACACCACUAGUCGGCCACCAUCCUGUCUGGCACAAGAUGGCCUCCUCAUGUUCUUCGGAGCUCCCGAUCAUCCUCUUUCAGAUCCAGACCGAGCCCUGUCCACAGCACAAAUGGACGAGCCCUGUGGGCCGCCUUCCAACCCCGCGCCAGUUGGGACAGGAAACGUCCCAGCUUUCCUCCCGCUUCUUAGGCCAAUUGCCGCCAAGGGAGCCCGCGCUGAAUUCUGGGUCUUCAUACAGCCAACUGUAUAUCAAAGGCAAGCGAGCAUCCAAAGGAGCUCCCUAUCGCCAGGGGACUAUGGUUCUCGUGGGAGUUUUCUCUGGACAUCCCUAGCCACAAGUCUCUUCCGGGAAUUGUGCCUUGCUGGGUGCGGAUGAUCAGAAGGUACUAAAGUAUUUUGUGGAUCUUCGUCUGUCUGGGAAUCAUCGCUGGGGGAGAUCGGGAAGGCCUAGUUUUGCCCUCACUCACUAAAGAGCUUUGAAAAGUCAACAAGAACAAGUUGGGAUCUUGUAUUGGAUCCGUCCUUCCCAACGGAACAGCCGCCACUUGCUGCCUAGAUGCUGGCAAUAAUCUGGCGAGCGACCUUGGACAGAGUCUCUCCUCCGGCUUCCCUCAGAAAGCAGCUAGGGUUAUUUUUCUAAAAUACAAGCCUGGCUGCAUCCCUCCUCCUUGCCGAAGCCUUUCACCAUCUGGUCCCGAUCUACUUUUUCCCCUUGGUUGUGCGUUACUCUAUAAAAAUCUAUUUUUCAGAAAAGUAACUUUUUUUUUUCUGCUCCACAUACACGGAAUUCCAUUUCCUGUGUACAUGCCAUCGCCCUGGUUCAGUCUGAGGCAGACUGUGUAGUCUUGUGGGUCCUUUCAAUGGCCAGGAUGUCCUGCAAUGAAAGUCUUCUCCAAGCUUUAGCAUGCCUCAAAAAGGCACCAAAACCCUGGAUGGAGCAGAGGAACAAGAAAUAAAAGCUUAAGACCUGUUAAUGGGAGGCAUCCCUAA